rfam:Fukomys damarensis contig82897, whole genome shotgun sequence.
GGUGUAGCUCAAUGGUAGAGCACUUGCCUAGCAUGUGUGAGGUCCUGGGUUUGAUUCCCAGCACC